UACGUAGGGCGCAAGCGUUGUCCGGAAUUAUUGGGCGUAAAGAGCUCGUAGGCGGUUUGUCGCGUCUGUCGUGAAAGCUUGGGGCUUAACCCCAAGUCUGCGGUGGAUACGGGCAGACUAGAGGCAGGUAGGGGAGAACGGAAUUCCCGGUGUAGCGGUGAAAUGCGCAGAUAUCGGGAGGAACACCUAUGGCGAAGGCAGCUCGCUGGGACGUUACUGACGCUGAGACGCGAAAGCGUGGGGAGCAAACAGG
rnacentral:rRNA from 1 species